rnacentral:lncRNA from 1 species
GUUUUGGUAUGGUAAAGGUGUAAAUACCGUGGAUUAUGCUACUGGCUCUGGGCAAAUACUCGUUCUUAUCCAUCGUAAUUACAGGAAACCACUUGUCCACUUUCGAAACCCCUAACGUAACCCCUUUUUCUUUUGUAUUUCUCAUCUGGUGAAAAAACUGUGCAAAUAUUUGACGAGCAUUCAACGGCUCCUCGUGCGAUCUGAUAUGGUGGGGAGUGCUGGCCCUCUGUGUGUUUGCCUCUGCUGCCGCUGCCAUUUUCCAGUGUUUAUCAAGUCUAACACGCUGUGGCCUUAUUUGUUUUCUAACACUCGGUGGUCCCCAGAGAGAUAGAGAGAGAGAGGCAAAAAUCGCGGUCUCACUCUCUUGUCUCUUGAAAGAGAUUUGCAAUCGCUGAUGGGUGGGUUCUGGCUGCUGUCUUCCUAUCUCCUGUAAUUUUAAUUUUUGUGGUUUACCUCUGCUUUGGUUUACAGUACAUUUUACACGAAAUAAAGCGUACGUUUUUUUUUCUCAUGUUUAACAGACAUUAAGUUUGUUUUAUGGAAGAGGACCUAUCCUCUCUCGCUGGGUGUUGAACGCAAUAAAAAUAUGUUUAAG